rnacentral:rRNA from 1 species
AUACGUAGGUGGCAAGCGUUAUCCGGAAUUAUUGGGCGUAAAGGGGGAGCAGGCGGCAGCAAGGGUCUGUGGUGAAAGCCUGAAGCUUAACUUCAGUAAGCCAUAGAAACCAGGCAGCUAGAGUGCAGGAGAGGAUCGUGGAAUUCCAUGGGUAGCGGUGAAAUGCGUAGAUAUAUGGAGGAACACCAGUGGCGAAGGCGACGAUCUGGCCUGCAACUGACGCUCAGUCCCGAAAGCGUGGGGAGCAAAUAGGAUUAGAUACCCUAGUAGUCCACGCCGUAAACGAUGAGUACUAAGUGUUGGAUGUCAAAGUUCAGUGCUGCAGUUAACGCAAUAAGUACUCCGCCUGAGUAGUACGUUCGCAAGAAUGAAACUCAAAGGAAUUGGCGGGG